CCCCUGUACACCUGGAUUACUGACAGUGAGAAACACUACUUCAGAGAGGGUCAAGCUUUUAUACCCUCAAAGGACCCUUUCGACUCAUCCAGUCGACAGGAAGAGCUUGAUAAUCGGCAAGAAGCAUAUCGCUGGAAAACAUCUGUAGAAGGACUACCUGAUCAUAUCAAAGCAAAAGAACCGACUGACCUGCAUUUAGACGCCCAGUUCAUAUUACUCAAGAAAAUAUGGCUUAACACUCAGGGAUUUAUAGGCUACAGUUGGGAAAAAAUUAAAUCCUUUUUUGAAAAUGGUAAAUGGUCUGAUUUUAAUCAGAUUGGUGAAAUGGCGGACUCCAGCAAGAACAAAAUUUUGG